CCCGGCCCCCUCGUCCCGCCCCGCCGUCUCGCCCGCCCCGCUCGUCCCGCUCGCCCUGGCCGUGGCCGAUGACCGCGGCCCCGUCGUCCCGCCCCGCUCGCCGUGGCCGAUGACCGCGCCACCAGGGACCGCGGCCACUCGAUGAGGAGGCCUGGACCUUGGCGCAGACCCGUGCCCCCGCGCGGCGGCGGCAGAUCCCUCAUCGCGGAGCCAGCCCUCCCGCCGAUGCCACGCCGCGUCGCGAUGCCGCUGGCUUGGAGGCCCGUGUUCAGGCAGCCGCCGCGGCGUCGCCGGAUGCGGUGGCAGGCUCUCAGGGGACCGCUUGGCAGGGGGGUCGUCGCGGCUUCCGGUGGCGCCAAGCCGUAGAUCUGAGCCGCCGUUUACACUUUGGUUUCGAUUUGGUGCCUCCACUCCUCACCACCUAUCCCUCUCUGAUCUUGUUUGUUUGUAGGCCUGGGCUUGUAGGUUAUUUGUCUUCUCUGUAUGUAGAUGUUGUUGGAUUCAGACCAUAGUCGAAAGAUGGGGGCCUUUUGUGCUCUCAGGUUUGGCUAUAUUCCAAGUAUUGGGAUUUCUCUCAGGUCUGGCUAGGUUCCAAAGAUGGCCACAGAGCCUUUUGUGCUCUCAGGUUUGGCUAGAUUCCAAGUAUUUGGAUUUUUUGGGUCAAUGGUCUGGCUAGGUUGGCUAGGUUCCAAAGCUGGCCACUUCUCUAUGGCCUUUUGUGCUGCCUUGCUUGGACUCGAUGGGAGAGAGAUAAGGGUUGGGCUAGGUUCCAAAGAUGGCCACUUUUCUGUGGCCUUUUGUGUCGCCUUGCUUGGACUUGAUGGGAGAGAGAGAAGGGUUUGGCUAGGUUCCAAAUAUUGGGAUCUUUUGGAAGUUAAGGUACUCAUGUGCUCUUUGUUAUAUUGUAAAGUAUGUAUAUGGGGUAUUCCUCUGGUUCAAAAUAAAUACUAGGUUAAGAUCCUUACACUUGAAAUUUAUCAUUAUUUGGAUACUCUGCAGUGUUGUUUUGUUUACUAAAUUCUCCAGUUAUUUUCAGUUUCAAUUAGGCUCUGUGUAGUGAUUAUCUCGGCUUUUGCAAUAGCAACUAUACCAUCGUGAUGUGUAAUUACAUAUUGUUUUAGUGUUAUAAUUUGUUCUGACUUCCAUGAUUUAUAGUAUUGACAUAUUGAGCUUGUAUGCCCUUUCCAUGAAUUGAGUUCUAUGUAAGUCUUGGCAAUGCAUUGACAUGGUUCUAUACCAUCGUGAUGUGUAAUUACAGAUUGUUUUAGUGUUAUAAUUUGUUCUGACUUCCAUGAUUUAUAGUAUUGACAUAUUGAGCUUGUAUGCCCUUUCCAUGAAUUGAGUUCUAUGUAAGUCUUGGCAAUGCAUUGACAUGGUUCUAUACCAUCGUGAUGUGUAAUUACAGAUUGUUUUAGUGUUAUAAUUUGUUCUGACUUCCAUGAUUUAUAGUAUUGACAUAUUGAGCUUGUAUGCCCUUUCCAUGAAUUGAGUUCUAUGUAAGUCUUGGCAAUGCAUUGACAUGGUUCUAUACCAUCGUGAUGUGUAAUUACAGAUUGUUUUAGUGUUAUAAUUUGUUCUGACUUCCAUGAUUUAUAGUAUUGACAUAUUGAGCUUGUAUGCCCUUUCCAUGAAUUGAGUUCUAUGUAAGUCUUGGCAAUGCAUUGACAUGGUUCUAUACCAUCGUGAUGUGUAAUUACAGAUUGUUUUAGUGUUAUAAUUUGUUCUGACUUCCAUGAUUUAUAGUAUUGACAUAUUGAGCUUGUAUGCCCUUUCCAUGAAUUGAGUUCUAUGUAAGUCUUGGCAAUGCAUUGACAUGGUUCUGGUAGCCAUUAUGAUGCAUGAUGCACCACAAUGUCAGUUCCUUUCUAUCACUGAUUUUUUGAUAAAUCUUGCUGCAGUGAAACCCAAAGAACGAUAUGGAUGUGAAUGAAAAGGGAGAGUUUCACUUCAUGUAGCUACUACACCAGGAGAAUUGUAUGCUUGCGCCGAGGAAAAUGUUAUGCCGACUGUGGACAAGUGCCCUGAACUCACCUAUGCCCGGAGCCUAUGUGAUGUGUACCUGUGUUGGUGCCUUUACAGAAGAUCCAUUAUGCCUCCCUCUCGUGUUAGAAAUUUUCAGUUCUCCAUCCAUGGUAACUAUCAAUAUAUAACUCCAGUUCAUGUUCUUCUAAUUAUACAUGAGGGUAUGAAAAAUCCACACUCUUAUACAUUACUACUACUUUACUUCAUAUAUGUGUCUUGAUAAAUAUGUGAAGGACGUGAGGUGUCGCUGAUGAGACCUUUGUGUUGGCCGGUGAUCAUGGGCAACGUUAUAUAGUUAGUUUGAUAUGUUAUGUGGUCCAGCUAGGUUCGAAGGAAGGGGGUCUUUGGAUCAGUCCCAUAUUCAUGUUAGUUUUAUAACAAAUCGAUGAAAAUUACUUCUGUGUGUUGUUGCUUCAAGUUGAAGUUUGGUCACUUGUUUUCAGGUCUUCCCCGCCGUCAUUUCUAUAAAAAUAAACAAAUUAUUUAUUUAUAGUCGACUGCCAUUUUUUCCUUUUGGCUAUGUGUUGGUCGCCCCUCAUCCGCGGCUGCUCGCGGGCGCUCCCGCAAUGCCGCGGGUAAAACUGGUGGUGGCCAUGGCAUUGCCAGCGGCUCUGCCUCUUGUGGUGACUUUGUAGAAUACAAGUCAAGUUUAAAGCUUUCGACUGCGACGGCUGAAAAACCAAAGUAAAUGCAUCAUAUAUAUUCUAAUAAAUGCAUGCGAAUCAUAGAAAAUAUGGUAAGCACCUAUCCUGCAAUUUAGUACUGGCGUGAUGUUGCUCUUUGUUGAUAGAAAUCAUACUUGCAUAGCUGUUUGAUUGAUUUGAUUAUAAUCAAACUGCACUGUCAUAAUUUUAAUAUUGUGAUUAUUCAAAUGAAAAAUGAUCAAAGAAAUACAUGUACCAAAGUCGCAUUUGUUGAGAUCAUGAGUAGGCAUAAAAUUCUUGGUCAUUAUGUUUUUACAUUUCUGGGUUUGUGUGCAUUUUUAACGAGUUAUAUUGUUUAGUGCACAGAUAGGGUUCUUUCCUGAACAGAGUGCAUUUGCAUUGAGAUAUUAGACAGUUGGGAUGCCGGAUAUUGUCCUUCGAGCUGGUGUGCCGUCAAUCUCUUGUUCGUGCCAUCGCGUUGAGAUAUUCUUUUUAGGGCGAUGAUGAUUAACCGUGGCUGAAAUAAGUGUGCCUUUGAGCAAUCGAGGCACCUGUGGGUAUCAAGUUGGAUCCUCCCUCGCGUCUCUAGAAUCCUUUUUGAUCUUGUGAUACCUGUUGUUCUGUCCUUGGAUGGUCAUUCUUGUUGAGUGAUAACCAGGGCAGCUCAACUGUAUAAACAGAUUGAUCUGGUGAUAAGAGAUAACGGGCUAGGUAAUAUGAUUGAGGAAAGGCGAAUCUGAGCCCACUAUGCAUUGGACCCUGAACCCUUUUUAUUUGAUUUAAAGGUGUUGUUUAUUUAGGCUCACACCGCUGCUCCCCAUUGUGCGGCCAUCGUCCUCGUGUUUGCGUGCGCGCAGGAAACCAACAGGCGUCGAUGUAGUGAGAGCUAUGCAAGUCGCUGAACAUGAUGGUGCUAUUGUUUAUACAGCGUGGCAUGGCACACAUACUAUAUUAUUGAGCUAUCAUCUUCUGGUUCUGGAUUUAUGGUGGCGGCAGUAUUGACGCUGAAGGAAUGGGAGAGAAGGACAAGCUCGCUCUUGUGCUACCGCUAGGUGAGGUGAUUGACUCGGGGUGUCUUUUCUCAAAAAAGACAGGCUCAACCAUGAGAGCAUGAGAUCUUUGCACUUGUUGUUUGAUGCGUUUGUGCUCGUCGGCGGGACGGUGCAAGGCGCAACUCCGACGCGGUUCCUCGCCGGUUGGACGGCGUUCAAGCGCAACCCCGGCGCGCACUGAGUAUUGCCUCGGCUACAACCUCCCUCGGUGAGCUCCAUCUUCCUCCUGUUCUUCUGCUUUGGCUACUGUAUGUGACAUCAAGAAAUAAGAGAUGGA